rnacentral:lncRNA from 1 species
CUCACACACUCACACGAACAGCUCUGCCCCUCCUCCACUCCUGCUUCUUGAGGCAGAGGAGCCCGCUGACUCGGCCAUAACCAGUUAAAUCAAAUGGAGGCCCCGGUGAACAAUGGCAUUUGAUGAAAGCCUCACAACUGGUAUCCAUCCGAACUUGAAUUCAGGCCAGUUCUGGCUUCUAAUCUAGUACUCUUCUGGAGACAGCAUGAAGGGGAAAAGACAGUCUCCCCUGAAGUUAAGGAGAGCCUGGUGCAGAAGGUGCGAGCUCCAAUUCCGUUUAGUAGCUGAAGAAACUGGGGGUCUGAGAGAUUCUCUCUCAUGCUGCUAGAGAGCCUCUGACCUGGAAUGGAAACUUAGAAUGGCCUGCCUGACUGCCAAGUGGGUGUUUUGUGGUCGUUCCCAAAGUUCCUUAUCCUCCACACACAGACGUGACAUCCACCUGGUCCAGCCUUCACUCCAUGCCCUAAUCCCUC